rnacentral:snRNA from 1 species
AGAUUUGAGGGUAAACUGGCUGUUGUAUCUAUCACCCCAUAGAUCUCUAAAGUUGAUUUCUUGGUAUAGAGGGGUAGGUGGGUGUCCUAUUCCUCAUAUACCUCCAAGUGUGUUUCUCCCAACGCUGCAUGCUAUGUCAAAAAGACAAACAUCUCUGGCAGAGGAGGAAGAUACUUCAGUCAAGGGUACACGAGUAAUUCUGCUCCCCUGCUAUAAUCUCCAAGCAAGCUCUCAGGGUCAUCGUUUUCUAAAAACAACAAAUUGUACAAUCUGCAAUCAUAAAUUAGCUCUUUUUAUGUGGAAAAAAUAUAA